AUACGCCCCUGGAUACGAGGGAAGGAAGGAAACGUCCUAAAGCACGCCCAUGGCCGGGGUUCCUCGCCUCUCCGGUGCUUCGCGGGUGCAUUUGGAGAGAUCGGGUGGCAGCGGCCUGCCACGGGUUCCUGCUGUCAUCCAAAGCAGUACUCUUACAUCCUUCCUUGAAUCCAGCAUUCAUUAGAUAGCUCAGCUCACUGCCUUGGCGCAGAAAACCGCGGUUUUGUUGUCACUGUUCUGCCAGGUUGCUGGGUUGAAUCAGCUCAAGGCAAAGCCCUUUGUGAGAAAAAAGGCAGGAGCGGCGUGGCCGGGAGCUGAAGGAGAAAAGUGACUGAUUUGGCUCAUCUUACGGAAUUGCAUCGCUAAUUGCAAUUGUUGUAGGAGAAAGGGUGCAAGAGAUACAAAUUAAGAAAGGAAAGACAACACCUUCUCAGAGUGGUGUGUCCUUCAAGUCUUAAAAACAAAACAAAACAAAACAAAAAACCCACCCCAAAAUAAAACAACCCAAAGAGAAAGGGAAGCAGUAGAACAAAUGCUCAGAAGCAGAAAAACCACAAAUGAAAAGUAAAGGUAGAAACAAAGAAGGUGGAGAAAGUCUCUGUAAAAUUUUAAAUGCCAAGAGAGCUUGUUUCUGUUACCAAGGUGGUCAUGACCUGGAUUCCUACCUCCUGAAUUUACAUGUGUCACCAGGGUACACAGCUAUAGGUUUUCUGUAACAUCUCUGGGGAAAAAGGCCCCUUGAAAAGGGAACAACUCUUCAAGUUCAGUGUCAGUAACUGUCCAACUGCUUCAGUCUGUAGACUUCAGUCUUGCCCUUUAUGUGCCUAGGGUAUACUGACCUCUGCCACUUGCAAGACAUCCUUGUCAUGGAAAUUAUUUGAGGCACGUAUUGGAUUGCGUUAUAUGGGAGGCCAGCCCAUGUGAUACUCAUUAUCUCUUUGGUAGUAAAAAGGGUGACUUUAUUUACAACCUUUGGCAAAAUGUCCUGCAAUCUAUUUUGAACUGAAACAGGAGGACGAGCAGAAUAUCACGAAUCUGUGGCGACUUCCCUGCUUAUCUUGGCUGCCUUCUCCUCUAGAGUUGUACUGAACAGCAGUCUGGUGCAGCAAACAAGCUUGGCCACUAUUUAUAAACAAACACGGGUUUCUCAAUGCAUUUUUGCUUAUCUGCAUCUUUCUUUCCUUUUUUUUUAAAUAUUUUAAUUGCUCUGAGGCAAUGGUCAUCUUUAUCUGUGAUGGUUCUAAGACCACAAUCACUGUUCAGCUGUAAUGCAUAAUAAAAAUUAGUUCAAACUGAGCUAGAAACAGCAUCAUUUUAGGCACUUUAGUUAACCAGUCAAAUUACUACUUAACCCCUACUUUAUUUACUAAUAUCUACUUCUAAAUACCUUGUGAAGGUAAAAAACUUAGUGCACUAAGCAGAUAUUUUCAUCAUGUUUCACUUUCUAAUAUAUGGAAAAAGGUAGUACAUGGAGAGUUAUUAUUUAAGAAAAUAACAUAACUGAUUUGUUGUAUAAGCUGAGCCAGCCAGUCAUAGUAACACUUCUACAAUCUUACCCAUCAGGACCACUGUCCCAAUUCAUUUGAAGAGUCCAGCUUCAGUGGUAAUAGUUUUGGACCCUGUAAUUAUUGUAGUUCUGUGUAUAUCAGAUAGACACAUUGUCCAGCUUGGCUAUUUCAGACAGGCAAGGUAAAAAAAUGCAAGUUCUUAAACAGUUUAAUUUGUAAAAA